rnacentral:rRNA from 1 species
GUUACUUAGUAACCACAGGGAUUGCCCUAGUAACGGCGAGUGAAGCGGCAACAGCUCAAAUUUGAAAUCUGGCGUCUUUGGCGUCCGAGUUGUAAUUUGCAGAGGGCGCUUUGGCAUUGGCAGCGGUCCAAGUUCCUUGGAACAGGACGUCACAGAGGGUGAGAAUCCCGUACGUGGUCGCUAGCCUUUACCGUGUAAAGCCCCUUCGACGAGUCGAGUUGUUUGGGAAUGCAGCUCUAAAUGGGAGGUAAAUUUCUUCUAAAGCUAAAUACUGGCCAGAGACCGAUAGCGCACAAGUAGAGUGAUCGAAAGAUGAAAAGCACUUUGGAAAGAGAGUUAAAAAGCACGUGAAAUUGUUGAAAGGGAAGCGCUUGCAGCCAGACUUGCCUGUAGUUGCUCAUCCGGGUUUUUACCCGGUGCACUCUUCUAUAGGCAGGCCAGCAUCAGUUUGGGCGGUUGGAUAAAGGUCUCUGUCACGUACCUCCUCUCGGGGAGAACUUAUAGGGGAGACGUAAUGCAACCAGCCUGGACUGAGGUCCGCGCAUCUGCUAGGAUGCUGGCGUAAUGGCUGUAAGCGGCCCGUCUUGAAACACGGACCAAGGAGUCUAACAUCUAUGCGAGUGUUUGGGUGUCAAGCCCGAGCGCGUAAUGAAAGUGAACGGAGGUGGGAACCUUUCGGGGUGCACCAUCGACCGAUCCUGAUGUCUUCGGAUGGAUUUGAGUAAGAGCAUAGCUGUUGGGACCCGAAAGAUGGUGAACUAUGCUUGAAUAGGGUGAAGCCAGAGGAAACUCUGGUGGAGGCUCGCAGCGGUUCUGACGUGCAAAUCGAUCGUCAAAUUUGGGCAUAGGGGCGAAAGACUAAUCGAACUAUCUAGUAGCUGGUUCCUGCCGAAGUUUCCCCC